AGUGAACGCUGGCGGUAGGCCUAACACAUGCAAGUCGAACGGCAGCACAGUAAGAGCUUGCUCUUACGGGUGGCGAGUGGCGGACGGGUGAGGAAUACAUCGGAAUCUACUUUUUCGUGGGGGAUAACGUAGGGAAACUUACGCUUAUACCGCAUACGACCUACGGGUUAAAGCCGGGGAUCUUCCGACCUUUCGCUGUUGAAUUGAUCGAUGUCGGAUUAAGUUGUUGGCGGGGUAAAGGCCCACCAAGGCGACGAUCCGUAGCUGGUCUGAGAGGAUGAUCAGCCACACUGGAACUGAGACACGGUCCAGACUCCUACGGGAGGCAGCAGUGGGGAAUAUUGGACAAUGGGCGCAAGCCUGAUCCAGACAUACCGCGUGGGUGAAGAAGGCCUUCGGGUUGUAAAGCCCUUUUGUUGGGAAAGAAAAGCAGCAGGUUAAUACCCCGCUGUUCUGACGGUACCCAAAGAAUAAGCACCGGCUAACUUCGUG
rnacentral:rRNA from 1 species